AUUGAACGCUGGCGGCAGGCCUAACACAUGCAAGUCGAGCGGUUGAAGGGUGCUUGCUCCUGGAUUCAGCGUCGGACUGGUGUGUAAUUCCUAUGAAUCUGCCUGUUAUUGGUUGAUAACGUCCGUAAACGGGCGCUUAUACCGCAUACGUCCUGAUGUUGUACGUGUGGGUUCUUCUGUCCUCUCGCUUUCUUAUGUGCCUAGGUCGGUUUAGCUAGUUGGUUGGGUAAAGUCCUACCAAGGCUACGAUCCGUAACUGAUCUGAGAGGAUGAUCAGUCACACUGGAACUGAGACACGGAACAGAGAACUACGGGAGGCAGCAGUGGGGAAUAUUGGACAAUGGGCGAAAGCAUGAACCAGCAAAGCCGAGUGUGAGAAGAAGGACUUCGGAUUGUAAAGAACGUUAAGUAGGGAGGAAGGGAAGUAAGAUAAUAAAUUGAUGGUAUGACGGUAACAAAAGAAUAAGCACCGGCUAACUACGUG
rnacentral:rRNA from 1 species